rnacentral:tRNA from 1 species
AGCUGCAUUGGCGGGAUUUCGCCGUCUUCGUUUCUCUUUCUUCGCGGACGAACACGCGCUGGGGCUGCAGGCUUGCGGAUCCCUGGUCCUUGACUGGAUAUGCGUUAGGGGCUUGUAGCUCAGUUGGUUAGAGCGCGCGCUUGAUAAGCGUGAGGUCGGAAGUUCAAGUCUUCCCAGGCCCACCAGCCUUCGCGCUUCGCUGCUUCGGCUAGGCGAGCCUUUCGAAAACGGAGGCUGCCACGCCGUAGGCUUGGCGAAGGCGGGCUAAUCAAACGAGCAUUCGUCUUCUGGUUACGGGGCCAUAGCUCAGCUGGGAGAGCGCGUGCUUUGCAAGCAUGAGGUCGUCGGUUCGAUCCCGUCUGGCUCCACCAGAUGGUUUGAUCACCGAGGUCCUGCACCGUCGUCCGCGAAACAUCACUUCGCAUCCUGCUAGUCUGGAUAGACAGCAAGAUGCGUGUUUUCUGACAUCGUAAAGAGGAGAUCGAUCCGAGUUGGGUCGUGCAGCAUAUCGUUGCGCGAGCCUUCAUUAUCUCCGGAUCAUUUUCGGCGCUCGCUUUCAGCCGUGAGGUUGAAUGCGAGUUGUAAAAUGAUCCUUUUAGCGAAGCUUGACCGCCUCGCUAUCGGAACGAUCUUACGAAGCAAGCUGGUCUUUCUAGUCAAUGUCCGGCUGUACGUAGCGUUCAUCGAGGGCGCGCGCCUUAGAGAUUUCCGUCUCGCGGCAAUCGUACAGACAACAUUCUGCCGAGUGUGUGGACAUUGAUAAUGAGAGC